AGAGUUUGAUCCUGGCUCAGGACGAACGCUGGCGGCGUGCCUAACACAUGCAAGUCUAGGAGAUGGCUCCUUUCGGGGGGCUUGAAACUGGCGAACGGGUGAGUAACGCGUAGAUAAUCUGCCCUAAUCCCUGGCAUAACGUCGAGAAAUCGGCGCUAAUAUCAGAUGAGGAGUUUACGUCAAAGGGAGACCGGAUUAGGAUGAGUCUGCGUCUGAUUAGCUAGUUGGUAGUGUAAUGGACUACCAAGGCGACGAUCAGUAGCUGGUCUGAGAGGAUGGUCAGCCACACUGGAACUGAGACACGGUCCAGACUCCUACGGGAGGCAGCAGUGAGGAAUAUUGGUCAAUGGGGGAAACCCUGAACCAGCGACGCCGCGUGUGGGACGAAGGAGCUUUGCUCUGUAAACCACUGUCGGAAGGGAAGAAAAGCAGCUUUAAGCUGCCGGGACUGUACCUUCGGAGGAAGGAUCGGCUAACUACGUGCCAGCAGCCGCGGUAAUACGUAGGAUCCGAGCGUUGUCCGGAAUCACUGGGUGUAAAGGGUGCGCAGGCGGAUUUGAACGUCAGAGGUUAAAUGUCACCGCUUAACGGUGAACCUGCCUUUGAAACGGCAAGUCUUGAGUAUGAGAGAGGUAAGUAGAAUUCCUGGUGUAGCGGUGAAAUGCGUAGAUAUCAGGAGGAAUACCAGUGGCGAAGGCGGCUUACUGGCUCAUAACUGACGCUCAGGCACGAAAGCGCGGGGAGCAAACAGGAUUAGAUACCCUGGUAGUCCGCGCCCUAAACGAU
rnacentral:rRNA from 1 species